rnacentral:lncRNA from 1 species
UUGUAUUUCGUAUUUUAAAUUCAUGUUUUUAAUUUAUUUAAAAUUUAUCAUUUUAUUUCGUCGUAGAAAAUUAUAUUUUUGUUGUUAUUAUUUAAAAAUAAUUUUUAGGAAAAAAAUAGAUAAAAAGAAGAAAACAUGGGGGAAAGCACCUGCAAGAAGGGUCUCGCCCACGCGGGCACUGUAUGCCGCUCGUGCAUGCACGCACGCGACCAGCACAGGAGAUGUGCACUGUGCACACUUCCCAUCCGCGGAGGGCAAGGCCCGGUCUCCACACGCAUCCCAUCAUGCGUAGACGGGCAUGGUUCCGUACGCCCUGUGUGCACACCGUCUAUGUAGUAGCCUGCGUGCAAUGCCCUGCACGUUGUAGUCCUACACACGGAAAGCUAGGCCUGCAACUCCAUACUGCUGCCUUGGGUAGUGCGCGCUGCUGGUUCAGCAACAAGCUGCCGCUGGCUUGGGCAGUGUGUCACCUUCGCUUGGGCGACGUGCUGUCGUUGUUUGGGUAGUGUGCCUUC